UACGUAGGGUGCAAGCGUUAAUCGGAAUUACUGGGCGUAAAGCGUGCGCAGGCGGUUUUGUAAGACAGAGGUGAAAUCCCCCGGGCUUAACCUGGGAACUGCCUUUGUGACUGCAAGGCUUGAGUGCGGCAGAGGGGGAUGGAAUUCCGCGUGUAGCAGUGAAAUGCGUAGAUAUGCGGAGGAACACCGAUGGCGAAGGCAAUCCCCUGGGCCUGCACUGACGCUCAUGCACGAAAGCGUGGGGAGCAAACAGG
rnacentral:rRNA from 1 species